GAUUUGAUUUAUUUAUUGUCAUUAUGUAUCUUGUUACACAAAUACAGUGCAAAGUGUUGUGUAGUGCCGCCACUCCCCAGCGCCAUCUUAAAACACAGAAAAAUAAACCAAAACAUGGAAAUAUAAAGACAGAAAAAUAAAUAAAGAAAGAAAAAGUGCUCAACUUUACAGUCCUUCUUGUUAAGCGUUGUGUCACGGGCCAUGGGCCUGGUGGGCCAGGCAUGCGUCACCUUCGCAGGAAUGAAAGUCACCACUUGUCAGCGCCAUCAUGUUUCCAGCAACGCCUUCUCCACCAUGAGUCCUUGCUGGACCUGGCCAGAGCAGGAGCCCCCGAUGCCGCUGGAUACCACACCAGUCCGAACUCGCCUUCGCUGCUGCCUCCGUGAAUCUGCGCUGGGUGCAGACCGCCAUGGGGAACCCAAGCUGCCGCAGAGGCCGUGAGUCGGCAAUAGGACCACCUCAUCGGUGUAGAAGCUGCGCGGGAACCCCGUCUCACCUUCGACGUCACUGCCACGGGCCCAGGCUCUUGGGCCUACUCACUGCCGCCGAAACCAUCACUGCGACCAAGCUCUUCACCUCCAGGUAUUGCGAUGGGAUUAAGGCAAGUGGGGAAAGAUGAUGCAGGCAGUGGUGAGAGGCGUGAGGCAUGAACCUUGGCGGGAGUCACAGCGUGAGGGAUGAGGGCAUCAUUGGCUCGGUCCAUGUUUAGUCCCCAGAUUGAUUGCUGUCGGUUUGGAGUCACUUGGAGGCCAGACCAGGCACUACCUAAUCUGAUGACUAUUUCCAGCAUGUUUUGCUUAAAGUAAAUCCAAUUUAUGAAGAGAGCACCUUAUGUGUGGAAGUGGUUUGGAAUGCCUUGAGGUACUCUCCUUGGGAGAAGGAUGCAAGUACAGAAUUCAAGAAGACAGUGAAGUUCUUGAGCAGUUUGAUACAAGAAGCAUGGAGAUGCUGCUAGACCCACAGCAUUUCUCCAGCAUUAACAGAUCCUAUUUCAGCCUUCUGGCAUCCAUAGUGUUUUGCUUUUUAUCCCAUUAGAAUUCUUAUUUUGUAUUGUCGAAAUUAAAAUAUUUAAAAAGUGUAAGCCAAA